CACACACACACACACACUCACACAAACACACACGGGACAAAUAGUGUUUUACAAAAUUCUCCCGCUGGUUUGACUCAUCUCCCUGGCUGCACCAGGUGGGCGGGGUUUAGCACUCAAAAUGACGCACCGGGGUUAAACAGUUUAUCCAAUCACAGCAGAGACGUUAGUUGCUGAGGUGCUGAUUGGUCUGUUCACGAGUCAGUCUUCAGAAAAAUGUAGUGGAAUCCAUCUUGAUGAAUCAGGAUUCCAGCCAAUCCCAGACCAGCUGACGGCGGUUAAAGGGGCGGGCAAAGCGUUGUUUGACUUCACGGCGGAGAGCGAGGACGAGCUCACAUUAAAAGUACGAGAGCGUCGCGAGUAGCAGAGGUUUCAUGAUCUCAUUCUGAACCGCAGACUGAAAAUAAAGAUGGACGACAUGACAGCUACUAAAUCGUCUCAAUCCUCUGUGUUCAACGUAUUUUGGAGGAAGUGGAAACACGUCGUCAUUCUUUAUUUGUCGCCAAAAACAAUGUUCAUUCCACAGACUUAAAAACAGCUCCCCUCUCCCUCUGUGUCCCCCUGCAGGUCGGUGACAUUAUAACACAGGUGGAGUUUGUGGAUGAGCAGUGGAUUCUGGGAGUCGUGGGUGGGAGACGUGGGAUAUUUCCGAAAAACUACAUUUCUCUUCUCUGACGAGGAAACAGCAGAGAGGAUUUUUAAAGAAAGAUUGACUUCCUGCGUCCGCAGCUGCUCUCGGUCAAACGGGCGGGAAACUGCGCCGCCACCGACAGACACACGGACAGUGUUUUUUUUUUUAAUUUCUUUUUCCCCAAAACUGAUCAGUUAAUUUUCUGGUCGGCUUUUAAAGAUCGUUUUGUCACUGAACUGAAUGAACACGACAAUGAACGAGACGGACCUUCGCCGGCUUAACGACGGAGUAGAACUGGUAUCGUGUCGUCACGGAUGUUUCCUCUGUGGAACUGGAUUUGACUUUUAUUUUGGAUUUGAUUCAUGGACUCUGACAAGUGUUUUCACUGCGUCUGCCUUAAAGAGCCGCCGUCUUCAGACGAUCUCAGCUUCUCUUUUCUCCUCAUCCUGCGUCAGUGUCCAGCUUUGAUCGGGACGGUCCCAGCUCGGCGAGGGGACGCCUGCGUCACUCAUUUCAUCUGUAACGUAGUGAAACAUGAAGAGCGUCUCAUCACGAGCAGAUUAGAAACUGACUGAAACAUCCACGUUGUUCAGCGGUGAGACGAGAGACAGGACGUAGUUCGUGUCCUGACAGGAAACAGACGCUGAAUAUUUUUCAAACUGUACAAUUUGUUGAUCCGAAGAACAAAUAUCGACCUUCUCUGAAUUGUGAAGUUGUCUCUGGUACGUGUAGAUAUUUAUGAAAGAUUGAACAUAUUUCAUGGAUGAAUUCUAAAAAGCUUUUUAAAAAAAGAUUUACGUUCCCGUUGAACUGGAUCAUUUUUCAUGUGAAGGAGCGAUGACAGAAACUUGUUUUUAGAUUCAAUUUCAAAUUUGUCAAAUCGUUAACAGUGACGAACAAUAAACUUAAUUGGUAUUAAACAGAUUAAAAUGAUUAAAUUCAUCGUUGAUUAUAACCUGGAUUUAACGUCUGAGUGAACUAGAGACGGUUUAUGACGAGUGAUAAGAACCCGUCGGAGUUAUUCUGGUAAUGUUUCUUCUCAAUCACGAUAUUUUUCUCGUAGUAUUACAUUAUUCACUGGUGUGAGGUUUUAUAUCAGGCUGGUUCUCAAACAUUUAUGAGGCGCAUGACAAAUUAUUGUACCUUUACUCGCUAUCUUUAAUUGUUCCUCAACAUUUCCUUUUUUACAACGAUACAUUUCAAAAACAGCAUCUCGUAUUUCUGUGUCUUUGUUUCCUGAGUCGUUCUUUAGGUUUGAGUUACAGCGUCGUCACAACUAAUUUCAUUUCAACGUGAGAGAAAAUCUUACAGGUUUCAUCUGCAUCAAUGUAAUGAUGUGUGUGUUAAAGGUAUUUCAUGUGUAACCAAACAUUCAAAGUUUUUAAUCCAAAUAAAAUUCCUGAAAAUUGCACAUUUUAUAUUUAAUGUCUCGGCGGUCACGUCACUAAUUCUAUUUCUUAAACGUCCCUGUUGUUAAUAACGUAGCAGGAAGACGAGCGUGGCGACAACGCUGAGGGUUCACAUGACGCCACAGCAUCAGUUUUAUUUUCACAGUCAAAUGAAUCUUUCCUUGAUACAGUCAGGGUUU